rnacentral:rRNA from 1 species
UACGUAGGGGACAAGCGUUAUCCGGAUUUACUGGGCGUAAAGCGCCCGUAGGCGGCCUGACAAGUUGGACGUGAAAGCUCCUGGCUUAACUGGGAGAGGCCGUUCAAAACUGUCAAGCUAGAGUCUGGAAGAGGAGAGCGGAAUUCCCGGUGUAGUGGUGGAAUGCGUAGAGAUCGGGAGGAACACCAGUGGCGAAAGCGGCUCUCUGGUCCAAAACUGACGCUGAGGGGCGAAAGCGUGGGGAGCGAACGGG